rnacentral:rRNA from 1 species
AGAGUUUGAUCCUGGCUCAGAGUGAACGCUGGCGGCAUGCCUAACACAUGCAAGUCGAACGGUAACAGGCCCGCAAGGGUGCUGACGAGUGGCGGACGGGUGAGGAAUACAUCGGAAUUUGCCCAGUCGUGGGGGAUAACGUAGGGAAACUUACGCUAAUACCGCAUACGACCGGAAGGUGAAAGCGGGGGAUCGCAAGACCUCGCGCGGAUGGAUAAGCCGAUGUCGGAUUAGCUAGUUGGCGGGGUAAAGGCCCACCAAGGCGACGAUCCGUAGCUGGUCUGAGAGGAUGAUCAGCCACACUGGGACUGAGACACGGCCCAGACUCCUACGGGAGGCAGCAGUGGGGAAUAUUGGACAAUGGGGGCAACCCUGAUCCAGCAAUGCCGCGUGUGUGAAGAAGGCCUUCGGGUUGUAAAGCACUUUUAUCCGGAACGAAACGCGCAGGGUGAAUAUCCUUGCGAACUGACGGUACCGGAGGAAUAAGCACCGGCUAACUUCGUGCCAGCAGCCGCGGUAAUACGAAGGGUGCAAGCGUUACUCGGAAUUACUGGGCGUAAAGGGUGCGUAGGUGGUUUUUUAAGUCCGUUGUGAAAUCCCUGGGCUCAACCUGGGAAUGGCAGUGGAUACUGGAAAGCUAGAGUGCGGUAGAGGGUAGUGGAAUUCCCGGUAGCAGUGAAAUGCGUAGAGAUCGGGAGGAACACCAGUGGCGAAGGCGGCUACCUGGACCAGCACUGACACUGAGGCACGAAAGCGUGGGGAGCAAACAGGAUUAGAUACCCUAGUAGUCC